rnacentral:rRNA from 1 species
GACGAACGCUGGCGGCGUGCUUAACACAUGCAAGUCGAACGGACAGGCCCUGCUUUUGUGGGGUGCUCGAGUGGCGAACGGGUGAGUAACACGUGAGUAACCUGCCCUUGACUUUGGGAUAACUUCAGGAAACUGGGGCUAAUACCGGAUAGGAGCUCCUGCUGCAUGGUGGGGGUUGGAAAGUUUCGGCGGUUGGGGAUGGACUCGCGGCUUAUCAGCUUGUUGGUGGGGUAGUGGCUUUCCAAGGCUUUGACGGGUAGCCGGCCUGAGAGGGUGACCGGCCACAUUGGGACUGAGAGACGGCCCAGACUCCUACGGGAGGCAGCAGGGGGGAAUAUUGCACAAUGGGCGGAAGCCUGAUGCAGCAACGCCGCGUGCGGGAUGACGGGCUUCGGGUUGUAAACCGCUUUCGCCUGUGACGAAGCGUGAGUGACGGUAAUGGGUAAAGAAGCACCGGCUAACUACGUG